CGCGCGUGCGCGGCUGGAGGCGGAGCGAGCCGGCAGCGCGCACGGCCCGGGGGCUCCCGCCAGAACCCGAGCCCACGCACACAAGGGUCGCGGGGCUGGGAAGCUCCUCAUCCAAGCCUGUCAGGGAGCCCCCCCAUCACUCGACCGCGAAAGACUGAGAAAAGGGAGGGUUCGUGCCACCAGCACACAGAUGCGGACGGUGGGUGGGAAAAAGGGCAGACGCUACUCCCAGCGAACCGCCGCCGCCGCUCCCGAGGCCUCACCAAAAUGGCCGCCGCCGUCUCGGCCGCCACCACCAGCACCACCACCGCCGCCACUCGCUCGGAAUCGCUACCGCCGGCGCGGCCCGUCUUCUCGCGAGAGACAGUAACUGGAGGGUGGGGGAACGGGGAGGCUGGCGUGCUAGCGUAGGGCGCCGCACGGCGCGCAAGGCAGCCUGGGAGGUGUAGUCUCCCGGAGGCUGCGCGCUCGCCCCUCCUCGGAGCGCCUUUACCAUCUGCACCUAGAGCUACCUGGGGCUGCAUUGCGGCUGCCAGCUCGGACCACCGCCACCUCCCUUUUUAUUUACAGAUCACCCAGUAAGCUGCAGCAAGUUAGCAGUGGAACCUGGGCCUCCCGAUUCCCAUGGCAGCCCACUUCUGUAGCGCUGCUUCGUUUUCCGCGAGGAUGGUUUCCUGAUAGCUUUCAAACACCUUUGCCAUCUGUUCGCAAACUUUCUAGGUUAAGAAUCCCUUCGAGAAUCUGAUACCUUUACCCCAGAACAGAACAAUAAAUAACAGCUACCUUCUACUGACA